CAGAUUUUAUACGUGUAUAUAUUGCAUUUAUGUAUAUACAUAAAAAGGAGAUGGGGGAGGGUGUGAGCCAUGUUAGGUAGCUUGCUUCCCAAGCAUCUCCUUUUUCAUAUCCAAGCGCAAAAGUUACUCUUAUGCCCUCCUUUUAAUAUCGAAAGAAUUACAAGAAAAUACACAUAAAUAUCGAAAGAAUUACAAGAAAAUACACAUGACCUUUAUUCCAUAACAAAAAAUGGCACAUGUUUUUAAGUUUUACCCGACCUAGCCGCCCACAUUGUGUUCAUAUUUUGGAAGCACUAGCAAAUUCAAAAUCUAUGUUCUUAAAAACUAUGGAGUUAAAUCUGUAUUCUUACAACUAUUGCUUUCACUCUCUCUUCUUCUCACAUCUUCUACAUAUUCUUGCUUCUCCUCUUGUGUCACCUGGUUGUAAUGUAAGAAAAUUGAAGAGUUAGUUGUCUGCAUUAAAAGCUUUUCUUUCGAAAAUGAGGUUUUUCGAAUUUGUUAGUUGUGUAUGGAUUGGGUAUUGUUCCAAUAGAUUGAAAGUAUCAAAAGAAGUAUAAAAUUUAAACACAUGUUUGUAAGUUUUACCCGACCUAGCCGCCCACAUUGUGUUCAUAUUUUGAAAGCACUAGCAAAUUUAAAAUCUACGUUCUUAAAAACAAUGGAGUUAAAUCUGUAUUCUCACAACUAUUGCUUUCACUCUCUCUUCUUCUCACAUCUUCUACAUAUUCUUGAUUGUCCUCUUGUGUCACCUGGUUGUAAUGUAAGAAAAUUUAUGAGUAGAAGUCCAUCAUAGAAGACGUGACUUUAUUCCAUAUCAAAAAAUGGCACAUGUUUUUGAGUUUUACCCAACCUAAUCUUGUGUCACAUGGUUGUAAUGUAAGAAAAUUGAAGAGUAGAAGUCCAUCAUAGAGGACCAUUAAAAGCUUUUCUUAUGGCACAUGUUUUUAAGUUUUACCCGACCUAGCCGCCCACAUCAUGUUCAUAUUUUGAAAGCACUAACAAAUUCAAAACCUAUGUUCUUAAAACUAUGGAGUUAAAUUUGUAUUCUCACAACUAUUGCUUUCACUCUCUCUUCUUCUCACAUCUUCUACAUAUUCUUGCUUCUCCUCUUGUGUCACCUGGUUGUAAUGU
rnacentral:lncRNA from 1 species